GACGAGAGAGAGAAGGUGCAGUUUCUCAAAAGAGCACAUCAACACGUAGCAGUGUGAAGUUUAUAUGUGCGAGGUUUCUAUAACCUGACAGCAAAAGGAACGCCGUCAGGCCUCAAACCACCCCGAGUUUCUCUAGCAGACAUACAGGAAAGGACAAAGUCACGUGUGAGACCAAGCCUUGCUGAACAGCCUGCAACCUCCAAGAGGAGAACGUGUGGGUGUGGAGGUACGUUUCAAUCCAAGAUGAUUGUACUUUACAUCUACAAAGAACCCAUGGCUUACCAGGAAUCCCAGGCAAUCAGGGAUUUGGAUCCCAGAAGAUUACUCAGGGAAAUCUGUAAAUAAGAUUAAAUACAAAUUAAACACUACAAAUGUACAAUACA